rnacentral:misc_RNA from 1 species
CGCACAUUGCGCCCUUUGGUAUUCCUUAGGGCAUGCCUGUUCGAGCGUCAUUUAAACCCUCAAGCUCUGCUUGGUGUUGGGUGCCUGUCCUGUCUCUGGCAUGGACUCACCUAGAAGACAUUGGCGGUCAGAGUGGUAGCUAGAAGCGCAGCACAGAUGCGCCUAGUUAAUCAUUCGAGUCUACCUCCAAGAAGCUACAUCAUUAUCUUGACCUCGGAUCAGGUAGGGAUACCCGCUGAACUUAA